GGGCUGGUCGUUAGACCCAGGUCCAUCGACGGUGGGGAAGUUCCCC
rnacentral:sRNA from 1 species